GAUGAACGCUGGCGGCGUGCCUAAUACAUGCAAGUCGAGCGAACGGACGAGAAGCUUGCUUCUCUGAUGUUAGCGGCGGACGGGUGAGUAACACGUGGAUAACCUACCUAUAAGACUGGGAUAACUUCGGGAAACCGGAGCUAAUACCGGAUGAUAUUUUGAACCUCAUGGUUCAAAAGUGAAAGACGGUCUUGCUGUCACUUAUAGAUGGAUCCGCGGUGCAUUAGCUAGUUGGUAAGGUAACGGCUUACCAAGGCAACGAUGCAUAGCCGACCUGAGAGGGUGAUCGGCCACACUGGAACUGAGACACGGUCCAGACUCCUACGGGAGGCAGCAGUAGGGAAUCUUCCGCAAUGGGCGAAAGCCUGACGGAGCAACGCCGCGUGAGUGAUGAAGGUCUUCGGAUCGUAAAACUCUGUUAUUAGGGAAGAACAUAUGUGUAAGUAACUGUGCACAUCUUGACGGUACCUAAUCAGAAAGCCCCGGCUAACUACGUG
rnacentral:rRNA from 1 species